AAAGCCUUAGCUUAAUAAAAGUAUCUGGUUUGCAUUCAGGAGAUGUGAGUUAAUGUCUCACAGGUUUUA
rnacentral:tRNA from 1 species